rnacentral:rRNA from 1 species
AGUAGUUUGAUCAUGGCUCAGGACGAACGCUGGCGGCGUGCUUAACACAUGCAAGUCGAACGAGACGAUUUUAAGCUUGCUUAGAUGAGUCGAGUGGCAAACGGGUGAGUAACGCGUAGACAACCUGCCGCAAAGAUGGGGACAACAUCCCGAAAGGGGUGCUAAUACCGAAUGUUGUAUCUUUUCCGCAUGGGAGAGAUAUUAAAGAUGGCCUCUACUUGUAAGCUAUCGCUUUGCGAUGGGUCUGCGUCUGAUUAGCUGGUUGGUGGGGUAACGGCCUACCAAGGCGACGAUCAGUAGCCGGUCUGAGAGGAUGAACGGCCACAUUGGAACUGAGACACGGUCCAGACUCC